AAAAGAGAAAAACCCUUCGAAAAGCCACAAAACCAAUAUCUCUCUCGUAUUCUGCUUUUCCCCUUCUCUCUCCCAUUCUCAAUCUCAGAAACCCAAAAUGUUGUAAAACCUAACCUCUUUCAUUUCUGUAACAUUCUCGUCUCCCAUUUUCGUAACCUUUUCCCCAAAUUACUUGAUCCAGAAACCCUAAUUUCUAAAACGAAGAUCAGAUCCGGGGAAAAUUGGUAAUCAGAAUCAAUGGUGGGUGCAUCGAGCUCAUGGUCUCGCGCAUUGGUUCAGAUCUCACCCUCCACUUUCUCCGUCAUCGGUAUCGCCAUCGGCAUCGGCGUUUCCGUCUUGGGUGCCGCUUGGGGAAUUUAUAUAACUGGAAGUAUUUUAAUUGGUGCCAUCAAAGCUCCUCGGAUUACUUCAAAAAAUAUGAUUAGAUGAGUACUUCAACUUUCUUUCUUUCUUUUUUUCUCGCUGGUUUUAUGGAUCAUUGAUGUGGUAUUACAUUGACUGGCUUAUUAAUGAGAGGUAACUGACAACUUCCAUGUGUAAAAAAAAUUGAAUUAUGCCACCACUUGCUAGAUUGUCCGGGCAUAGGUUACAUGGUCGUAGGAUAAGCUGAUACGCCUAUUUACCAUCAAUAUCAAUGAGUGUCAAUUCUGAAAUCUUACUGAACAUACAUUUGGACAAAUCAAUAUCAAUAUUGCGGCCAAUAUUUCAGUAUGGUUCAUGUUGAUAUUCUAUAAUAUUAUUGGUAUUCCUCAUUUACUUUGAUGAACUGAAGAUUUUUGUGCUCAUUUCCUAUGCAAUACUUCCUUGUUUUGAGCUUAAUUUGAAGACUCAUUCAAGAUUGCUGCUAAAUUCACAAAGUAUCGGCACGUUGUUGGUGACUUGGAGGCAUGAAGGGGCAAUUUAGGAACAUAAAAAGGAGUCAGCAGAGAGUGCAUAAAAAUGAUAAUAUUUUCCACUUUGACGAAGUUCUAUGCAAGUAACUAAACAAUUGUGUCAAGUAGUUGUGGGAGAAAGAGAUGGACAAAUCCAAAAAAGAGAAUGGAUAUAAAGGAAGUAAUAGGGGAAAAUCAGCUAAUCAUGUGAGUGAAGUAGAGCUUGGAAGGGCUACUUGGACUUUUCUCCAUACUCUUGCAGCUCAGAGCCAAUCCUGUACAAGCUGGAUCUCAAGCUGAGUUCUCACAGUGGCUAUGUCACGUGCACAAUGUCGUUAACAGAAGCCUUAAUAAACCAAUAUUUCCUUGUAAGAGAGUUAAUGCAAGGUGGGGCAAGCUGAAAUGUGAGCUGCGUGCAUGUUAUCUGCAAGGAACUCCGGAUUUUGGUGAAGGAUGACAUUAACAUAAUUACCAUAAACCAUCAACUAAUGUUAUUGUUUGAUUUUCAGUGUUACUAUUGCAAAUAAUAAGAGUCAUAUGAAAUUAAUUAAUAUAGGAAAUCAUUUGAAUGUCUUGUAUAACUCUCUUUGGUAUUGUAUAAAACAAAAUCAGUUUCCCUUAACUAUUUCAA